UCCUUAAUAUAUGUAUUCUUCAAAUAGUAAAAUAUUGGCAUUUUUCUUUGUCUUGAAAAAUAAUGUGUAUUCUGCAAAAUGUUCAUGCAAAUGAAUUUCCUGUUCAUUCUGUAUUCUAAUUCUUUAUUCUUUAUACUUUUGCACCCCACUAUUCUCUAUUCCUUAUGCAAUUAUAAGCACCCUAUUAUAAUUACUCUCAAUAAUCCUAUAAAUGCUUUUGCACCCAACUAUUCUCUAUUCCUUAUUCUAUUGCACCCAAUUAUUCUAUAUUCCUUAAAUGCUUUUGCACCCAAUUAUUCUCUAUUUCUUAUACUUUUGCGCCCAAUUAUUCUCUAAUCUCUAUACUUUAUCAUGCUUUUUAUUUAUAUCAUGUAUAUUGGACAUUAUUCUCUUUCUGUUAACCCCAUCCAGACCCUUAAGUGUAUAUUAUUCUAACAAAUGAAAGAGACAGUGUAUUUAGAUUUAAUAGAUUCUUUUUCCAAUAUAUUGAUUUUAAAAACAUAAACUUCAAUAAACAGGUUGAU
rnacentral:lncRNA from 1 species